UACGGGGGGGGUAAGCGUUGUUCGGAAUUACUGGGCGUAAAGGGCUCGUAGGCGGCCAACUAAGUCAGACGUGAAAUCCCUCAGCUUAACUGGGGAACUGCGUCUGAUACUGGAUGGCUUGGAUUCGGGAGAGGAAUGCGGAAUUCCAGGUGUAGCGGUGAAAUGCGUAGAUAUCUGGAGGAACACCGGUGGCGAAGGCGGCAUUCUGGACCGAUAUUGACGCCGAGGAGCGAAAGCCAGGGGAGCAAACGGG
rnacentral:rRNA from 1 species